GCGACUCGGACCUGGGCACCGGCCAGCGCGGCGCGGCUGAGGGGCUGCCCGGCCCGGCCUCCGCCUCCGCCCGACUCCUCCCGCCCCAAUCGGGCUGCGCGGCGCGGGCCCCACGGCGGCGAGCGGGGCUGGACCCCGGACCCCGGACCCCGGACCCCGGCCCAGGGCCCCUCCUCCGGCCCGGGGAGCACCGCUCGGCCCGGCUUCCCGCGACCCGGGCCUCGUCCUGUGAGGCGCCGCGGGGCAGGCCCGAGGCCUCCGCCGGGCCCGAGUCGCCCACUAGGGGGCCGGGCGCGCCUCCGGGGCCCGGACGGCGCCGACAGGAAGCGGGUCCCCGCGGGACUUGGGGCUCGCGCGGGCCUGGAGAUCUCCUGUGGUACCUCCCAGUGGCUGAACCCAAGAGGAAGGCUAAGGGCACGUGAGCCCAGGUGAUGCUGUCCUUCAAGGUCAGCCCUGGAGAAGGUUGGAGAGUGGAUCUGGAUGAACAAAGGCAGAAUUAUCCAGCAGGUGACUUCAAAAUCUCUGCAUGAAGAACAGACCUCAGCCCUAACCGGUUUGGCUCAGUGGAUAGAGCGUCGGCCUGCGGACUGAAGGGUCCCAGGUUCGAUUCCAGUCAAGGGCAUGUACCUUGGUUGCGGGCACAUCCCCAGUAGGGGAUGUGCAGGAGGCAGCUGAUCGAUUUCCCCUCUCAUCGAUGUUUCUAACUCUAUCCCUCUACCUUCCUCCCUGUA